AACUCCCUUAUGCAUAUCUGUUUCAAAAUUCAACUUGUGAACACAGGUGAAACAUUUCAUCAAUGCACAAUAAAAUAUUGAACACACAUAAUAGUCUAGUUGGGAAUCCAAAUAAUUGACUGACACAUCAGCAUACACUCGAAUCAUAGAAAAUUUGUUGUUUCCGGAAAUGGAAACUAACAUCAACAAGUCACAUGCUCCAUCCGCCCUUUGGACUGCUCUCUCCUCAUGCCUCCCCUUCAAUCACUCACCAUAUUAAUAACACCUGAAUACAAAAAACCACUUAUGAAUUAUACAAGCAUGCAAAAUAUUGUAUACUGUGAAGCAUAUCAAUGCCACAAAAAGAUGGGCACUCUCACAUUGAAAAACAGAAAAUAUAAUAAACUAUGUAUUAAAGAGAUAUGGUCUAGAAUGGUCUAAUAUAAACCCAUAUAUUUUCUAUAAAAAGUUUCCUUUUUGUGAUAUAUUGUCUUUAAAAGAUAGGUCAAAUUGUUAAAAACUGACAUGUAAACAACAAACACAAACUAUAGCCAGUCACCAGUCAGCAAAGCCCUAUUUUUUUGCAAGGCCAACAUCAUGGCAACCGUCACUCAUGGCCUGCCUUGGAGGCACGACGUGAAGGUUGCCAAAGGUCGGUGCUACUACAGGUGUUUCUAUUCACAUCAUCAAUAGUUCAUGUAUGCACCUAUUAGGUAAUUCCAAGUUUUCAUUCAGAUUUAUCCUCUUCAAAGGAUAUGGGGUACACGGUAGCUGGAUGGGGACCUGCAGCCUAAGACAACCAGAAUAAGCAAAUAUAGAAACUACCCUGUAGUUCUAAAGAUCUGAAAUACAACUGCAUGGACAAAGUGUUGCUGCGAAAUAAUCGUACGUGUAUAUACAGUAGAGUGUUGUUGAUUCCACAGAGCAAAUUUACCAUCAGCUAAGUUGGUUCUUUCGUUGUGCAUGAACUCAUACACAACUAUGUUCUUCCUGUCUUGCUGACUGUAACCAGUGAAUGUUACCAGGUUCCAAUGACAUAUUCCAGAAAGCAAUGCUACCUAAAACAAGUAGACCUUCACAGCAGACUACUCCCUUCGUCCCAAAAUAAGUGUCUCAACUCUAGUAAAACUUUGUAACAGAGUUGAGACACUUAUUUUAGGACGGAGGGCGCACAUGUAAGCCAGCCAACUCAUCAGGACAACAUCGGUAAGAAAAGAAAUGCAUGAGCAUAUGGUACAUUGUCAUGCAACGAUGCAACCAUAGCAUGAUAUGGCUGUUCCGUAGACCAUUACAACAGACCACAAGAGGGGGUGUGCAGAUACAGAAUGCAAAGGAAAUGUCAAAAGGCAGGAACUAAAAUUGCAGAAACAUAAAAGAAGGAUUACUACUAAUCUGAGAUAGUGAGGAAACAAUUGUCAUAUGAUCAAAGCACAUUAAGAGGUCAUUGGAUAAAGAAAAAAACAGAAUAGUCGAACAUAUCAGGAUCUUUUUUCACAACAGGACCAAGCCAUACUAUAAAAGCAGAAACAAGUAAACACAUGAGAAGGUGCACAUAAAUUUAACUACUUGGCAUAAAAUAACAUAAGUUCAUCAUCUAACAACAAGAGCCUACACUGGUAUAUAAUUAUAGAAGAUAUUAUGUAUGCAGAUAUGAUGAUAUAUAACCCUAUUCGAUUAUUCAAUUUGAUGUGAUGCUAAGAAGCACACAUCUGAGCCGUCUAUUUCUUUUCUCAAAGAAAAUAACACCAGGAUUAUUUUUAGUAAGAAGUGCAACAACAAUCAUGCCUCAGUUGAUAAAUAAUAAAGGAGUACUCGGAAUAUAUACAAACUUGACUCAAAGAGCAUUAUAUUGUCCAUUUUGAACAUAAAUCAAGCAAACCAACAUGGGCUCUCCACAAAAACUGCACUAUAAUUCUUGAGAUGGGCUGAAAGAAGAAGGUAAGUAACCUGCAACCAAAUAAGAGGAUGCCAUAAUUGCUAGUGAGGCUUGACCCAAAACCUAAGUUGCGCUCUUCCCUACCCCUAUUCGGUACAUAUACUGGAAAAAGUGUCCAACCGAGAGCAUAUUCAAAAUCUACAGCUCCUUGGAAGAAGGCCCUUCUCCAUAGUAACUAAGCAAGCUUACGAAGGUCUUGUGAUUUUAUUUGAACAAGGCUAUUAUGUGGAAGUAAAACCAUUCUAAUAACUAUGGAGCUGCAAAGGUAUACUCCAAACAAUGAUGAGAUACAGUGACAAUUCUGGUAUAGAGCAUAAUGUUCAUGAGAUACAUACAGUCAAAACUGUGGUAUGGGAAUGGCCAAUUAGGAUCCCUGGUCUUUAACAAAUACCUAAUAUCCAAACUUCCAAUUAUUAUGGAAUGAUGCAUAUGUGUAUGUAAUUAGCUGCACGUACAGUAUAUUCCUUCAUUUGAAAACACUUGUCCUUAACCUCUCAAGUUUUAGUUAAUUAAUCAGUCACAUAUAAUUGUCAGCAUAUAUUAUAGGCAGAUAGAAGUACGUGAACAAACUCUAGGACAUGGCAUCGUGCUUCUGUCAGGAGGAUUCCCGGAGCAGGUGAGCAGCUACGGCAAGCUCCUCUGUAGUCGCCUUCACCUCCUCCAUGUACACCUAUGUGAAGAACAAGAGGCACAAAUCAUAAGCUUAACUAACAUUUGGCAUCUCGUACUGCUAAGAAACCAC
rnacentral:lncRNA from 1 species